rnacentral:misc_RNA from 1 species
GAUGAAGAACGCAGCGAAAUGCGAUAAGUAAUGUGAAUUGCAGAAUUCAGUGAAUCAUCGAAUCUUUGAACGCACAUUGCGCCCUCUGGUAUUCCGGGGGGCAUGCCUGUUCGAGCGUCAUUAUAACCACUCAAGCACGGCUUGUGUGUUGGGCCUCCGUCCUCCUCCCGGGGGACGGGCCCGAAAGGCAGCGGCGGCACCGCGUCCGGUCCUCGAGCGUAUGGGGCUUCGUCACCCGCUCUUGUAGGCCCGGCCGGCGCUUGCCGACACAUCAAUCUUUUUUCCAGGUUGACCUCGGAUCAGGUAGGGAUACCCGCUGAACUUAAGCAUAUCAAUAAGCGGAGGA